AGGACGAACGGCUGGCGGCGUGCCUAAUACAUGCAAGUCGAACGGUCUUUCUAUGGAAGCUUGCUUCCACUGAGAAGAUAGUGGCGAACGGGUGAGUAACACGUGGGUAACCUGCCCAUAAGAGGGGGAGUAACAUCCGGAAACGGGUGCUAAUACCGCAUAGUUUUCUUGAUCGCAUGAUCGGGAAAGGAAAGACGGCCUUUGUGCUGUCGCUUAUGGAUGGACCCGCGGCGUAUUAGUUAGUUGGUGAGGUAACGGCUCACCAAGACGAUGAUACGUAGCCGACCUGAGAGGGUGAUCGGCCACAUUGGGACUGAGACACGGCCCAAACUCCUACGGGAGGCAGCAGUAGGGAAUCUUCCGCAAUGGACGAAAGUCUGACGGAGCAACGCCGCGUGAGUGAAAGAAGGUUUUCGGAUCGUAAAACUCUGUUGUCAGAGAAGAACAAGUUGGAGAGUAACUGCUCCAGCCUUGACGGUAUCUGACCAGAAAGCCACGGCUAACUACGUGCCAGCCGCCGC
rnacentral:rRNA from 1 species